rnacentral:rRNA from 1 species
AGCGAACGCUGGCGGCAGGCUUAACACAUGCAAGUCGAGCGCCCCGCAAGGGGAGCGGCAGGCGGGAGAGUAACACGUGGGAACGUACCCUUCAGUUCGGAACAACCCAGGGAAACUUGGGCUAAUACAGGAUACGUCCGAAAGGAGAAAGAUUUAUCGCUGAAGGAUCGGCCCGCGUCUGAUUAGCUAGUUGGUGAGGUAACGGCUCACCAAGGCGACGAUCAGUAGCUGGUCUGAAAGGAUGAUCAGCCUCAUUGGGACUGAGACACGGCCCAAACUCCUGCGGUAGGCAGCAGUGGGGAAUAUUGGACCAUGGGCGCAAGCCUGAUCCAGCCAUGCCGCGUGGGUGAUGAAGGCCCUAGGGUUGUAAAGCCCUUUCGGCGGGGAAGAUAAUGACGGUACCCGCAGAAGAAGCCCCGGCUAACGUCGUGCCAGCAGCCGCCGUAA